CACGUAGGGCGCGAGCGUUGUCCGGAAUUAUUGGGCGUAAAGAGCUCGUAGGCGGCCUGUUGCGUCCGCUGUGAAAGCCCGGGGCUUAACCCCGGGUCGGCAGUGGAUACGGGCAGGCUAGAGGUAGGUAGGGGAGAAUGGAAUUCCCGGUGUAGCGGUGAAAUGCGCAGAUAUCGGGAGGAACACCAGUGGCGAAGGCGAGUCCCUGGACACUUCCUGACACUGAGGCACGAAAGCUAGGGGAGCAAACAGG
rnacentral:rRNA from 1 species